rnacentral:rRNA from 1 species
GUGGUUGUGAAGAUGCAAUCUACCCGCUGCUAGACGGAAAGACCCCGUGAACCUUUACUGUAGCUUUGCAUUGGACUUUGAAGUCACUUGUGUAGGAUAGGUGGGAGGCUUGGAAGCAGAGACGCCAGUCUCUGUGGAGUCGUCCUUGAAAUACCACCCUGGUGUCUUUGAGGUUCUAACCCAGACCCGUCAUCCGGGUCGGGGACCGUGCAUGGUAGGCAGUUUGACUGGGGCGGUCUCCUCCCAAAGCGUAACGGAGGAGUUCGAAGGUUACCUAGGUCCGGUCGGAAAUCGGACUGAUAGUGCAAUGGCAAAAGGUAGCUUAACUGCGAGACCGACAAGUCGGGCAGGUGCGAAAGCAGGACAUAGUGAUCCGGUGGUUCUGUAUGGAAGGGCCAUCGCUCAACGGAUAAAAGGUACUCCGGGGAUAACAGGCUGAUUCCGCCCAAGAGUUCAUAUCGACGGCGGAGUUUGGCACCUCGAUGUCGGCUCAUCACAUCCUGGGGCUGUAGUCGGUCCCAAGGGUAUGGCUGUUCGCCAUUUAAAGUGGUACGUGAGCUGGGUUUAAAACGUCGUGAGACAGUUUGGUCCCUAUCUGCAGUGGGCG